UAGUUUAUCCAAGAUGACCAUUAAAUCGAUAGAGCGAUAAAAGACGAUCUGUGAAGAAUCUAAGAAUCGCCUGGAUGUACCGAGUGGAUGGAUCUAUACUGUCUCUGAUGUAACCUAUUCUAAAGCAGACUGUAUCGAAUUCUCAGUUGGGAUAAAACUCCUAUUAACGAGUGGUGAAUUUUGUAAUUAAAUCUGGAUUAUUAUCCAAGUCAACCAUUUUAAUAAAAUCGUUUACUUACUUUCAACCAUAAGAUAAUAUAAAAUGGCCGAGCCAUCGAAACUGGAGGAUGAGAUGAAAGCAAAGGCUAAAAAAGCCAUGUUGGCAGAGACUGAUCCGGUUAGAAAAUUAAAGCUGGCGUUUUUGUCUAGAGGUGGAAAAGGCAUAAAAAACCUAACAAGGUGGUUGAGGAUUAUGGAUGACGAUGAUAAUAAGAAGUUAUCAGCCGAGGAAUUUACAGAAGGGAUACAGAAUUUGGGUAUUAAUAAUCUGACAAAGGAUGAAUUGAAGGACGUGUUUAGUAAGUUUGAUAAAGAUGGCAGUGGACAGAUUAAUAUUACAGAAUUUCUUCUGAUGAUGCAGCCUGGGAUGUCAGCACAUCGAAAAGAACUUGUUGAAGCCGCUUUUAAAACAAUGGACAGUACUGGUGAUGGAGUUAUUAAUAUCGAUGAUAUAGAGAAGACCUACGAUUUUUCCAAACAUCCCAAAUACGUAAACGGCGACAUGAAUAAACAAAAGUGCGUCGCAGAAUUUCUGAAUUCUUUUGAUGGAAAUAAUCCUGAUG